UUUACUCUUCAGUACAGCAAUCAUUCACUCUUCGUCUACAUCUUCAAACUUGCAAACAUUUCGGAAACUUAUAUCCUGUUAGAGCGUGGUCAUAAAAUCCCUAAACAUGAAGCUCUUACUGGUUUUCACCAUUUGUAUUGUAUUGGUCCAAUGUCUUGUUCCAUCUUUGGCGGAAGAGGUUUCUCGUGAGGAGAGGAAAGUAAAACCGAACUCGCCCGGAACCGGGAGUGGGAGUCCUCCGCGUCAAGCUACGACAGCGGGCCCCAGUCGUUCCCGACUCCCGCCACAACCCGGUCCACCCCCAAACCGCCCACUUCCUCCACUUCCUCGCCCAAGGCCGGAUUCUCCUACUUUAGGCGGCAAUCACUGAUUCAAUUCAAAGUUUCUAAAAAUUGAAUCCAUUUCAAAUCCCAAAAUUUUUAAAAGACUUUGUAACCCAAUUUAAAAAUUUGAAAAACGUAAUAAAUCCAUAUUGAAAUCUUAA